rnacentral:rRNA from 1 species
CGCGUAGGUGGUCUUGUAUGUCUACCGUGAAAGCACACGGCUCAACCGUGUUCCGUCGGUAGAAACUGCAGGACUUGAGGCUGGGAGGGGCUGGUGGAAUUCCCCGUGUAGCGGUGAAAUGCGUAGAGAUGGGGGAGAACACUCGUGGCGAAGGCGGCCAGCUAGACCAGUUCUGACACUGAGGCGCGAUAGCGUGGGGAGCAAACA